AUUGAACGCUGGCGGAAUGCUUUACACAUGCAAGUCGAACGGUAGAGGGGGCAACCCCUCGAGAGUGGCGAACGGGUGAGUAAUAUAUCGGAACGUGCCCAGUCGUGGGGGAUAACGUAGCGAAAGUUACGCUAAUACCGCAUACGAUCUAAGGAUGAAAGCGGGGGAUCGCAAGACCUCGCGCGAUUGGAGCGGCCGAUAUCAGAUUAGGUAGUUGGUGGGGUAAAGGUUCACCAAGCCAACGAUCUGUAGCUGGGCUGAGAGGACGACCAGCCACACUGGAACGGAGACACGGUCCAGACGCCUACGGGAGGCAGCAGGGGGGAAUUUUGGACAAUGGACGUAAGUCUGAUCCAGCCAUUCCGCGUGCAGGAUGAAGGCCCUCGGGUUGUAAACUGCUUUUGUACGGAACGAAAAGGUCUCUCUUAAUACGGGGGACUCAUGACGGUACCGUAAGAAUAAGCACCGGCUAACUACGUGCCAGCAGCCGCGGUAA
rnacentral:rRNA from 1 species